AGAGUUUGAUCAUGGCUCAGAUUGAACGCUGGCGGCAUGCCUUACACAUGCAAGUCGAACGGCAGCACGGGAGCAAUCCUGGUGGCGAGUGGCGAACGGGUGAGUAAUACAUCGGAACGUGUCCUGUAGUGGGGGAUAGCCCGGCGAAAGCCGGAUUAAUACCGCAUACGAUCUGCGGAUGAAAGCGGGGGAUCUUCGGACCUCGCGCUGCAGGGGCGGCCGAUGGCAGAUUAGCUAGUUGGUGGGGUAAAGGCCUACCAAGGCGACGAUCUGUAGCUGGUCUGAGAGGACGACCAGCCACACUGGGACUGAGACACGGCCCAGACUCCUACGGGAGGCAGCAGUGGGGAAUUUUGGACAAUGGGCGCAAGCCUGAUCCAGCAAUGCCGCGUGUGUGAAGAAGGCCUUCGGGUUGUAAAGCACUUUUUGUCCGGAAAGAAAACGCCCGGGUUAAUACCCUGGGCGGAUGACGGUACCGGAAGAAUAAGCACCGGCUAACUACGUGCCAGCAGCCGCGGUAAUACGUAGGGUGCAAGCGUUAAUCGGAAUUACUGGGCGUAAAGCGUGCGCAGGCGGUCCGCUAAGACAGAUGUGAAAUCCCCCGGGCUUAACCUGGGAACUGCAUUCGUGACUGGCGGGCUAGAGUAUGGCAGAGGGGGGUAGAAUUCCACGUGUAGCAGUGAAAUGCGUAGAGAUGUGGAGGAAUACCGAUGGCGAAGGCAGCCCCCUGGGCCAAUACUGACGCUCAUGCACGAAAGCGUGGGGAGCAAACAGGAUUAGAUACCCUAGUAGUCC
rnacentral:rRNA from 1 species